rnacentral:lncRNA from 10 species
UAGAGGCCUCCCUUCCGAGGAGGCGGUGCUGGGGCGGGCGCAGGACUGCAGGCUGGGGCUCCGCUCCCCGGCGGGAGCCCGCGCGUGGUUCCCAGCGAAGUCCCCGCGCGGCUGGGCCCAGCGUGAGUAUUCUCCGCCCGCUGUCCUCCCCCUGGAGGCGGCAGCGCCCGUUUAUUUGAGGCUUCUAAUGUGAGGAAAAACACGGAAUGACAAGUGUGGGAAAGAGCAAGCACUAAAUUACUGUCAGAAAAAUAAACGGAGUAGCACAGUGCUGCUCGGUGAUUUACGGGGGCAAUUAGUCACCACCCCACGGCGCUGCUGAGGACAGCACGGCAGCAGACAAGUCAGGCCCAUGAGGAAGAAGAGGCUUUGCACUGCUCUCCAGACAACUUUUCAAACAACAAGAGAGGAUAUUUGAGCACAUUAGGUUUUGUGUCUUCAUUCUGGCCGUGUGAAGAUGUGCCUGCUUCGCCUUCCAUCAUGACUGAAGUUUCCUGAGGCCUCCCCAGCUAUGCUCCCUAUACAGCCUGCAGAACGGUCGGCUGCCUCCAAUCCUGAGGUCAUCACUCAUCAAGAGGGGAUAAUCCCAGGGACAGCAGGAUCUGCUUCGUUACUUGGAUUUAGGAGCCAGAAACCCAUCAGGCAACUAAACAGUAACAAUGACCCGCCAUUAAACACACUGAGAGAAGAGCAUGAUGAAGAGUUUGUACAAGAAGAAGCCAGGAGCACUUGCUGACAAUGCUUACAGAGACGCAGGCUUCUAUGAGCUCUGCCUGUUGAACUGCAGUAAAAAUAGAUCUCCUUCCCCAGAGAGGCUUGGAUGUGGGCACAAUAUCAGUUCAGACGAUGGUCAAUGCAUGUACUUAAUAGAGUGAAAAGACUUUGGACUGUGAAGUCAGAUUACCUGGGUCUGAAUUGUUAUUCUUCUACUUCUUUGUAGUAUGCUUUCACCACAUUAAAAAUUGUCUGAGCCUCAAUUUUUUUAUCUGCAAAAUGGAGCUAAUACCUACACAGGGGCUUUUAAGAGAAUCAAAUGCAACAAUGUUUGAAAAGCAACAUACUCCCCUUUAUGGAAAAAGAGCCUGUAAAGGAACCAAUACAAUGGCUGGGCGUGGUGAC